ACCCCGGACCCACUGAAUCAAUAUCUCUGGGACCCAGCAAUCUGUAGCUUAACAGGUUUUUCCCAGAUGACUCUGAUUUAUGCAUGCUCAAGCCAGAGAAGCACUAGUCCAGACCAUCAGUCCUCUGCUUUGAUAUUUCUCAUGGUAGGAGAGACAAUAGCUAGCACACUUGGGAAGUAUCUCAAUCUGUUGCCUGCCUGAUGUGCAUUAGUAGCUGUAGUGAACCUCUGUUACAGAUGGGAGUAACAAAGGUGAACAAGAAUCCUCAAUUUGUUUUGAUGUGGAAAAAUUGAAAAUGCUAGUUUCAAAUCCCAAAAUUAAAUUUACAAAUUCUAAGACUCUAUUGUUUCACUAUCUCUCUAGACCAGAAUUUUUCAGUCUCAGCAUUACUAACAUUUUGGGCCAGAUCAUUAUUGUCACAGGAGGGUGGUGAGCAGUUAUAUUCAUUGCAGGAUGUUUAGCAGAAUUCCUGGCUUCUAUUCAUUAGAUGGAAGUAGCACGUGCACGCGCGUGAACACACACACACAUACACCAGUUGUGAAAACCAAAAGUGCCUCAAGACACUGUCAAAUAUCCCCCAUGUAGGUGAUUGAGGAAAGGAGGGAAAAUUGUCCCUGGUUAACAACUGCUGCUCUAAACUUAAUUUAUAUUCAUAAAAUUCUCUGUUUCUGAUGCAAAAAUUGAUCUUUUAAAUUUAUUUUUAGAUGGACACGUUUAUUUCGACUUCUACGACUUAUCAUUCUGAUAAGAGUUUUUCAUCUGGCUCAUCUAAAAAGACAACUUGGAAAGCUGAUAAGAAGGCUGGUUUCAGGAAACAAAAGGCGAUACAAAAGGGAUGGAUUUGACCUAGACCUCACUUAUAUUACUGAACGUAUUAUCGCUAUGUCGUUUCCAUCUUCUGGAGGCCAGUCCUUCUAUCGGAAUCCGAUUAAGGUAAGGGUGUUUAUCUUAAAAAUACUCAUUUCUCAAUGAUUGUAGACUGUGUAGUCAAAAGUUUAAUAUUGACCCAGAAAUGUCAAUAUUCUUUCCAGAAGGUACUCUUUCAAGUAAAACAGUCAUCAUGGAUUGAUACCAGUUACAAUUGUACCAGUGGUUACAAACCACCCCCAAACUUACUGGCUUAUAACAGCAACUAUUUAUUUGGCUCAUGAUCCUAUGGUUUGUGAAUCUGAGAUGGGCUUAACUGUUCAAUUCUGUGCUCACAGGGAGGAUUGCCUCUCUCAACUGAGCUCAUUCACGCAUCUGUGGGCAGUUACUGAGUCAUCUGAGCACUGGCUAGUCUAAAAUGA